AUUUAAACAAAGAACCAAAGUAAAUAUAUAAAAUCAUCAAAAGGAUUGGUAACUUGUAGAUUUAUACAAUGCAUCAGAACUGUUAUAAUUAUAUGUACAUAUGUACUUCUGUAAAACAAAAUAAACUACUGCAGAAAGAAGUUGAUGUUGUAUUUUGAAAUAUUUUUGGAAACAAAAAGCUUUUCGUUAUAUUACAAGCUCUCAAAGUGGAGAUUUCGAAACCAAUAUUACUAGUGUCAUAAAAAUAACGAAUUUUAACAGAAUUGAAAAUAGUCGAACUGACUUAUUUCUUCAUAUAUUUAGUAAAUUGAUGACUUUUCUGAAAGCUUUUCCUACAGCGUGCUUUUUGCUUUGUUCUUCUGUGUUUGAUGGUUCGAAAAUACCGUCAGAAAGAAAUAAACAGAAACGAAAAGAAUGCAAAGUAAGCGAUUGUAACGUUUCAAAAAGCAGCAAAAGUUAUUGCCCCAAAAUACAAGGCAAAAUUUACAAUGAAUAAAUAAGUACAAGUGUGUUAUGUAAAAUCCGAAAAUAUUUGCAGUUCAAUCGUUGAAAUCUAGUUUUUUACGUAGAUUUUUGUAGUGAAGGUCACUUUUUAAGAUAACAUAAUGUUUCGAACUAAAUUUCAUUGAAAUUGGAGUACUUUUACUUUUUUCGUCUACUUGCGUACAGGGUGUGCCAGUUGACCAAUUUGCUCCAUAUUUUUAAUUUCUUCUUUCUAUGAUAAAUGAGGUGCCUAUAAUGAGUUAUACCAAAAUUGGAGCAAGCUAACUAUUUUUGUCCACUCUACUGAGGAGCUUGCGACACUGUGCAUCGCAAUCACAAUCCCUUUUAAUUAUUCACUUAAUUAGCAAUUAUUUUGUCCACAGAUAAAAACAUUUAUUCCAAAAUUAGCAAAAUAUUUUCUCGCACUUGUGCUACGCUUCUUCUUCUCAACUCAAAACAAUUACGUCACAAGAUGGCGGUUGGCGUAAUCUUAUUUUCUGUUGCAAUUUCAUAAAAUAGGUCGUGUGAACAGAUACGGUAUCAUUGUAUAAACAGAGAACGUAUAUUAUAGAAAAGGUUCAAUUGCGGGCCAGUGUGUGAAUUAUCAAAACAUAACAAGAUUUUAAUAGUGGAUUUCACCUCAGCUAGCUCGGAAGGAGAAACUUUGACAGUGGCGAGGGAACAAAGCUGAGCAUUCAAUGAAAAUUACGCUCAGAAGUUUGCAUUGCUAUUACAGCCGAAUGUUAACCUUUUGGCUUAUAUAUUUAUACGUUUAUAUGCAAUUAUAUAUAUUGAAUAUAAUUAAAUUAUGUAAUUUUCAAAAUAUAAGAUAUAGUCAAUUGGGAAUUUAAUGAUAUUAUUUAGUUUUUACAUAAUAUGCAUUCCUAAUAAAUAUUUUGUAUUAUAAUUGUUAUUAAUAGUGAUUAAAUUUAUUAAAACAUUCACAUACAUACAUCUUUUAUCAUAUUAACCCUUAUGUUAGGAGCCCACUUUACCGACGUCUUUUAGCAACCGGGUACCCACGAUAUGAGAAUUAAAAAUUUUGUUUAUUUAUUAAUAACUAAUAAAUAAAAUAAUAUUAUAUAAUAUAUAGUCAGUGACAAUUUAAAGAAAAGAAUAAUAAUAAUAACAACGUAGAAUCGUCAAUGACAUCUGAAAUAUCAUAAUAUUUAAUUUAUUAGGUUAAGUGCAACCGACAGUGAUUCGAGUAGGGUUUCUGAUAGCGAUGACGAAGACUGGAUUGCAGCAAAUAGAGCUAGACAUCAAAAUCAUUAAGGUAAUUAAGUGCGUGACGAAACAGAAGAUUCUGAAGAAAUCGAUGAAGAGAAUUCAGCAGUAGAAGAAGAAGAAGAAGUUGAGAGAAGGAGAGUGAGGAUGAUGACAAUGAAGUAGAAACCGUUGAGCCUGAAGGAAAAGCACCAUCUGGGAGUUUUAUUGCCAAAGAUAAAACAGUGUGGAACAAAACUCCACCAACUCAGCAUCAGACCGCAGCUCAUAAUGUUGUACGCCAGCGUCGUGGGCCUAAUCGAAGUAUGGAAACGUUGUCAAUUAGCGAGACUUUCAAAAAAUGUUUACCUACGAAAUGGUUGAUAUAAUCGUCCGUCACACUAAUAAAAAAGCUGAAACAAUUUUCCAAGAGUACAAUGCUAACCAUCCAAACUCACAGCAUCAAUGGAAGCCCGUUACGAUACCCGAAAUUUAUUCGUUCUUCGGUAUCUUGAUUUGUGCUGGAGCAAAUAAUUCGAAUACAGAUCAUACAUUUGAUAUGUGCACUUCAAUUAUUAUCCGCUGUAUCGCACGACGAUGGGAUUGACGAGAUUCCAUAAUAUUCUUUGUUUUUUGCGAUUCGACGAUGGUAAUACUCGAAGUGAACGUAAAAAAGAAGGCAAGGCAGCUAUAAUUAGUGAUGUGUGGACAAUGUUGAAUUCAAAUUUAGCUCAAAUGUACAAACCAACAGCUAACUUGACGAUUGAUGAACAGCUUUAUCCAUACCGUGGCCAUACUGGAUUUACUCAAUAUAUUCCAUCGAAACCAGCUAAGUAUGGUAUAAAGAUCUGGUGGAUUUGUGAUGCAGAAAACGCAUAUCCUUUUCAAGGGAUUAUGUACACUGGUAAAACAGAUAAUACUUGAGAAAAAAAUCAGGGUGAAAGAAUUGGCGGCUCCGUACCGAGGUAGUGGUAGAAACAUCUGCAUGUAUAACUUCUUUAGUACUGUACCAGUUGCUAAACAUUUGUUGUCGUUGAAUAUUACCAUUGUUGGCACGCUAAAAAAGAAUAAACUUUACAUCCCUAGUGCUUUGGGAGUGAAUAAAACACGGGAGCAGUAUUCGACAGUUUUUGGAUUUCACGAAAAGGUUACCAUAUCUUCCUACGUUCCUAAAAAAAAUAAAGCUGUCAUUCUGAUAUAUACAAUGCAUUCAGAUAUAUCAGUUGGUGAUAACGCUCAACGAAAACCAGAAAUAAUAAAUUUGUAUAAUAAAUAUAAAGCUGGGUUGACACAAUGGACCAAAUGGUGCGGAGAUACACCAGUCAACGACGAUCUUCGAGAUGGCCAAAUGCAAUGUUCUUCAAAAUGCUAGAUAUUUCUUCACUUGCGGCAUAUAUAAUUUAUUAUGAAAAUAAUAAAAUGAUUGUCAAAAAAACGACAGAACAUCGUCAAUUUAUAUAGAACUAGCAUUGCCGUUGAUUGAACAUCGCACGGCGAAUCCACAAGUAAUGCGCCACUUCUCAACAAAGAUUGCCAUUGAAAGUGUAUUAGGUUAUAUACUGACAGAAACAGUCGUGAUAAAUCCUGGUCCAGAGACUCCAAAAGACAAAACCGGAAGGAAAAAAGUAACAGGAUCUUGUCAUGUCUGCAAUGCUUUGCCAAUAAGAAGACGGCGAAAGACACGUAAGGCCUGUGCCAAUUGUUACCAACCUGUGUGUGACGAGCACUCAGUUAAUCGUGUACAAUGUGUUCAAUGUCAUUAAUUAUAAAGAAAGUGUAAUAUUUCUUUAUUUUUUUAAUAAAAUUUAGUUGCAUGCAUUAAUAGAAA